AUUGAACGCUGGCGGCAUGCCUUACACAUGCAAGUCGAACGGCAGCACGGGUGCUUGCACCUGGUGGCGAGUGGCGAACGGGUGAGUAAUACAUCGGAACGUACCUUAUCGUGGGGGAUAACGCAGCGAAAGCUGUGCUAAUACCGCAUACGCCCUGAGGGGGAAAGCGGGGGAUCGAAAGACCUCGCGCGAUUAGAGCGGCCGAUGCCUGAUUAGCUUGUUGGUGGGGUAAAAGCCCACCAAGGCGACGAUCAGUAGCUGGUCUGAGAGGACGAUCAGCCAGACGGGGCCUGAGACACGGCCAAGACUCCUACGGGAGGCAGCAGUGGGGAAUUUUGGACAAUGGGGGCAACCCUGAUCCAGCAAUGCCGCGUGAGUGAAGAAGGCCUUCGGGUUGUAAAGCUCUUUUGUCAGGGAAGAAACACCGGCUCUAACACAGUCCGGGAAUGACGGUACCUGAAGAAUAAGCACCGGCUAACUACGUGCCAGCAGCCGCCGUAA
rnacentral:rRNA from 1 species